CUCCUUACCGAUUUGAGAUCCGCACUGGUCUCCUCUCUGCUGGCCAUUCUACGGGAAAGAUCGCUGAGUACUUCAUCUAAAUCUGCCGCAAACGACCAGCACUCUGUGUCAAGAAGUGGGAGUAUUUCCUCCCUCACACAUGCUCCCUGCCUCACAUGUGAUGUCAUGAAAAUGGACGGAUGUGAUAGCGAAGGAACCAGAGGGAAUGAUACUACUGUAUCAGCAAUGGUGUUGAUACGUAGAAGAUACAAAAAUGAGGAAGAUACUAAAAGACACAUAGAUGAGUAACACAGAUGAGAAAUUCAUAUGCCCAUCAUGUCUUGGAUGAGAAACAGUAUGAAAACUUCAAUGAAAAAUUCAGCACUGCCAAACCAUUUGGAAAUGCUACCAGAAAUGAAAAACAAUUAGGGGGUAGAUGCACUAGAGGAAGGAAAGAGGAGCUCCAGUUUGAUCCCAUACUUUGUGUCAUAAUUUCAUAUCGAUUAAUUCUUGUGUCUCAAUGAUUCAC